rnacentral:rRNA from 1 species
UUUCCAGACUCCUACGGGAGGCAGCAGUGAGGAAUAUUGGUCAAUGGGAGAGAUCCUGAACCAGCCAAGCCGCGUGAGGGAAGACGGCCCUAUGGGUUGUAAACCUCUUUUGUCGGAGAACAAAACCCGGGACGUGUCCCGGACUGCGUGUAUCCGAAGAAAAAGCAUCGGCUAACUCCGUGCCAGCAGCCGCGGUAAUACGGAGGAUGCGAGCGUUAUCCGGAUUUAUUGGGUUUAAAGGGUGCGCAGGCGGCACGGCAAGCCGGCGGUCAAAUCGCGGGGCUCAACCCCGCCCAGCCGUCGGAACUGCCGGGCUAGAGUGGGCGAGAAGUGCGCGGAAUGCGUGGUGUAGCGGUGAAAUGCAUAGAUAUCACGCAGAACUCCGAUUGCGAAGGCAGCGCACCGGCGCCCUACUGACGCUCAGGCACGAAAGCGUGGGUAUCGAACAGGAUAGAUACCCGUGUA